AGAGACUUAGGCUAACAAAGUAGACCGAGGGCCUUCAAAGCCCUAUGUGGAGGUGCAAACCCUUCAGCCUCUG
rnacentral:tRNA from 1 species